GACGAACGCUGGCGGCGUGCCUAAUACAUGCAAGUCGAACGCAGAGGGCGGAGCUUUCUUCUCUGGAUGAGUUGCGAACGGGUGAGUAACACGUAGGUAACCUGCCUGUUAGCGGGGGAUAACUAUUGGAAACGAUAGCUAAUACCGCAUAAUAGUUGAUGUUGCAUGACAUUUGCUUGAAAGGUGCAAUUGCAUCCCUACCAGAUGCACCUGCGUUGUAUUAGCUAGUUGGUGAGGUAACGGCUCACUAAGGCGACGAUACAGAGUCGACCUGUGAGGGGGGGCAGCCAGACUGGGACGGAGACACGGCCCAGACGCCUACGGGAGGGAGCAGGAGGGAAUCGUGGGGAAUGGAUGGAAAGCUGAGCGAGAAACGCCGCGGGAGGGAAGAAGGUUGUCGGAUCGGAAAGCUCUGUUGUAAGAGAAGAAAGAGGGUGAGAGUGGAAAGUGCACAGUGUGACGGUAGCUUACCAGAAAGGGACGGCUAACUACGUG
rnacentral:rRNA from 1 species